UACGUAGGUGGCGAGCGUUGUCCGGAUUUACUGGGCGUAAAGAGCGCGCAGGCGGUCGUGCAAGUCGCGUGUGAAAGCCCCCGGCUCAACUGGGGAGGGUCACGCGAUACUGCUCGACUUGAAGGCAGGAGAGGGAAGUGGAAUUCCCGGUGUAGUGGUGAAAUUCGUAGAUAUUAGGAAGAACACCAGUGGCGAAGGCGGCUCACUGGUCCGGUACUGACGCUGAGGUGCGAAAGCGUGGGGAGCAAACAGG
rnacentral:rRNA from 1 species